rnacentral:rRNA from 1 species
GAUGAACGCUGGCGGCGUGCCUAAUACAUGCAAGUCGAGCGAACAGACGAGGCGCUUGCUCCUCUUCCGUUAGCGGCGGACGGGUGAGUAACACGUGGAUACCCUACCUAUAAGACUGGGAUAACUUCGGGAAACCGGAGCUAAUACCGGAUAAUAUAUUGAACCGCAUGGUUCAAUAGUGAAAGACGGUUUUGCUGUCACUUAUAGAUGGAUCCGCGCCGCAUUAGCUAGUUGGUAAGGUAACGGCUUACCAAGGCAACGAUGCGUAGCCGACCUGAGAGGGUGAUCGGCCACACUGGAACUGAGACACGGUCCAGACUCCUACGGGAGGCAGCAGUAGGGAAUCUUCCGCAAUGGGCGAAAGCCUGACGGAGCAACGCCGCGUGAGUGAUGAAGGUCUUCGGAUCGUAAAACUCUGUUAGUAGGGAAGAACAAAUGUGUAAGUAACUAUGCACGUCUUGACGGUACCUAAUCAGAAAGCCACGGCUAACUACGUG